GGGCGCACGCCUCUGUAGGUCACGGAAGCUGCGGCAGACGAUUUCCGUGUUGUUUACGAAUCGUCGUUCUGCACGUGGGAUUGUGACUAGCAAGUAUUUCAUGCAGGGAUGUGAUGUAACUCACUCGUGAAUGCCUUACCCCUUACUAUGAAAGGAUGUGAGACUCCACCAGCACCCCCUCCCCCCCCACCACCCCCUCCUCCCCUGAGGGUGGAGCCUGAGGUGGAGGAGCCAGGAGCCAUCAUAUGCUCCGACCAUGUCUGCCAGUCGCCUGAACACCUUGGAAGGGAGGCCUACCACAACUUCGUCAAUCAUCCCAAUACAAUUGCCAAGUAUCUGGAAGGGCAGUGUUACCUGUCCUUUUACCGUCCAGUGCAGCCAAUGAUACAGAAAGGGCCGCUAUGUGGGAUGGUGGCACUAGCAAUGGCUGCCCCCCUUCUCUCCAAACAGGAUGUUUCAGCUGAAAGUAUCUUUGAGAAAAGCAAGAGCAAAAAAUAUUCUCGCCAAGGAGAACUAUUUUCGGCGGACUGGGUGAUCCAUCUUGCCCAAGACAUGCUGAAGUGUGAUGCUGAGCAGCUGGAGAUGAAGGAGGGGCGUGGCGCUGUAGUGUGGAAGAUGCUCCGGGGAUCGAUGCUGCUGGUGCCUUAUGAUGCUGACAAGAAUCACUACCCCUGUCUGAAGAAAGGACACAAGGCUCAUUGGGCACUCAUUACAGGAUUCUUCGUGGUACUUGACAAGGCCCUUGAGAAGACUCUAAAGGACUACCUGCCCCCAGACCCGGAGGUGCCCAGAUUGUACCACUGUAAAGAUCCCAGACAGCUGGUAGUGGUGCAGCAUCAGAUCGUCAAGUCCUGUAAGAUUGUGCAUGUGUAUGGACACCAGGGCAAGAGCAAGUACCCGCGCGUCUGGCCUCUAGAUGAUCUCCUUGCCAGUAACGCCAAUCUGCGCGAGAUCGACCCAGAGAGGGUCAAGGACAUACAGGACUACAUUGUCCCUGGAGGUGGCAUAAGGGCUGGACUAUGCGGCAGGAUCGUGACAGUCACUGCCAAGAAAUAACAUCACUGCAGCUUUGUUUGCCCAAACAAUAUUGUGUUCAAUGGUUAUUCCUCAAAUUAGAUCUGUUAUCAUUACUUUAUCUCAAGUUAUUCUGAGAUAUUUAAAAUGAAUGACAGUUUGUAGUGAUGCAGAAUAAGAGGUUCCAUAGGUCAAUGAGAUCAGUGUGCUACAUGAGGUUUGAUUCUUUAGUAUUUUCAUACUUGUAAUGUUUUGACAUUUGGGUUAUGAAACGGAUCCAUCAACUUUCAUUCAUAGUUUCUGAAACUGUUUUCUGUUUCAUUGAUAUGAUUUUCAGGUAAGGCAUUUAAACCAGAUGUGUUUAUACCAGUUGGGUUUGGGGGAUGAAGUAGCCUGCCGGGUUGUCCGGAAUACCCUAUGUACACAUGGUGCAGUAUCCCAGUAGAGAUGCUGUACACUCCCAUUGCUGCCAUAUAUUAUGGGAUACUCUAAUGACUUGGUUAGACAGGUAACCAGGAAACUUUGCAAUUACAUGUGCUGAAAAAGAUGUAUUUACUCAGCGGAUACACGAGAUGGGCUUGCCAGUGAAGCUAAGAUUCCAAACAUCACCGGCAUACAUGAUGAUGAUACAGGUCGGUUGAUACUGAUGAUCAUGUGGUUGGCCUUUCCACAAGGAAUGAAGUUGGGUACUCCAAGCUUUAAGUCGAGAGUUACGUCCAUGGCCCAAGAGGACCAAUACUACCUGGGACCGGUGAAUAUUGCUGAGUGCAGCAUCAAACAACAAAUCAACCAACCAAUACCACCUGGCCUUUUCCACCUGAGAUGAUGCAUGAAAUAAAGGUUCCAACAUGUG
rnacentral:misc_RNA from 1 species